AUAAAAUAACAAUUAUGUUAGCAGAAGUUAUUUGAAAUAGGUUCCUUGAUCAUCAAGCCCAGUGAAAAGAUGAGGCCGAUAAAGAGAAAGAUUUGUUUCUGCUAGAAGGAAUCAGAAGCUGGAGAUGGAACAUGGGGAUUUGGGGGAAAUCAAGAAAAUAGACAUUCAGCCCUGAACCAACAGUGUGAUUUCAGAAGAAAACAUUUUCUCAGCAAAAGAGAUGUGCUGACUGUUAAGUACAAGGUCUGAACCCCUCAGCCUGGAGGACUCCUGACAGUCCCUCCUGCAGAAUCCCUUCUUCUGCAAAUUUCUGCUACCCUGGUCAUGUCAUCCAACAGCCCCCUGAGUGCUCAUAGUUAGUCACUUCAAGUUGUUUGGCCAGACCCAAACUGGAUGGCUCUUUGGGAAAUAUUCUUCUGAAGAAAUUCUGGAGGUUGCAAUGUUCUGUAAUAUUCCACAUUUAGAAUUCUUCCUCACUGAAAAAUGGAAACAGAGAUGAAGCGCAGUUUCUUGGACUCCAAGCUUGAAUGAGGCUAAGUGACAUCCGGUGAAGCCAGCGUAUGAAUUGCCUCGUCAGAGGCGCUGGCGGCAAGGAUGGUGGAGAUUGGAGUGUGCGCAGGGCAGUUGUCUCCAUGACCACACAUUCAGAGACCACAUCUGGAUCCACUCUGAAGUGAGUUCCGAACUCCAAGGUCCCCAAGGUGGCAUGUGGGGGAUGGUGCUCGUCCAGCCACAGCCCCAGGUUGAGUGAAAUGAAUGAAUUUAUCUCUGGUACCACAAGGGCCUUCUAGCUCAGCAGAGUUCUUUAUCUGUCAG